rnacentral:rRNA from 1 species
GAUGAACGCUAGCUACAGGCUUAACACAUGCAAGUCGAGGGGCAGCAUGAUUGAAGCUUGCUUCAAUCGAUGGCGACCGGCGCACGGGUGAGUAACACGUAUCCAACCUGCCGAUAACUCGGGGAUAGCCUUUCGAAAGAAAGAUUAAUACCCUAUAGUAUAGUAUUUCCGCAUGGUUUCACUAUUAAAGAACUUCGGUUAUCGAUGGGGAUGCGUUCCAUUAGAUAGUUGGCGGGGUAACGGCCCACCAAGUCAACGAUGGAUAGGGGUUCUGAGAGGAAGGUCCCCCACAUUGGAACUGAGACACGGUCCAAACUCCUACGGGAGGCAGCAGUGAGGAAUAUUGGUCAAUGGACGAGAGUCUGAACCAGCCAAGUAGCGUGAAGGAUGACUGCCCUAUGGGUUGUAAACUUCUUUUAUACGGGAAUAAAGUGGAGUAUGCAUACUCCUUUGUAUGUACCGUAUGAAUAAGGAUCGGCUAACUCCGUG